rnacentral:rRNA from 1 species
AUUGAACGCUGGCGGCAGGCCUAACACAUGCAAGUCGAACGGUAACAGAAAGCAGCUUGCUGCUUUGCUGACGAGUGGCGGACGGGUGAGUAAUGUCUGGGAAACUGCCUGAUGGAGGGGGAUAACUACUGGAAACGGUAGCUAAUACCGCAUAACGUCGCAAGACCAAAGAGGGGGACCUUCGGGCCUCUUGCCAUCGGAUGUGCCCAGAUGGGAUUAGCUAGUAGGUGGGGUAACGGCUCACCUAGGCGACGAUCCCUAGCUGGUCUGAGAGGAUGACCAGCCACACUGUAACUGAGACACGGUCCAGACUCCUACGGGAGGCAGCAGUGGGGAAUAUUGCACAAUGGGCGCAAGCCUGAUGCAGCCAUGCCGCGUGUAUGAAGAAGGCCUUCGGGUUGUAAAUUACUUUCAGCGGGGAGGAAGGGAGUAAAGUUAAUACCUUUGCUCAUUGACGUUACCCGCAGAAGAAGCACCGGCUAACUCCGUG